rnacentral:rRNA from 1 species
GCAAGUCAAGGAGAAAUUUACCUUCGGGUAAAUGGAUACUGGCGCACGGGGUGUGACACGGGGAUUAUCUGCCCUUUACACAGACAUAACUCAGGGAAACUUGAGCUAAUAUCUGAUGAGGCCUCCGGGUCAAAGCUUCGGCGGUAAAGGAUGAGUCUGCGUCUGAUUAGCUAGUUGGUAAGGUAAUGGCUUACCAAGGCGACGAUCAGUAGCUGGUCUGAGAGGACGAUC